AAGAUCAUACUUCCAGGGAUCAUUUCUAUAGUCUUUGACUUGAUAAAUAUCGUACGAAAGUGAUCGGUUACUCUAACCACGAUGAAGAGAACUGAUGUUCCCUUCGGAGUGCGAAGCGGGCAGUGAGUGAUGAUGCAUUUCAUCCGCUCCUUGCCAUUGAUGACCGUUCCAUGCUCUCUAGUGGAGCCUGGAGGUAUAGGGAUCAUGAUCAGAGUGGU
ensembl:snoRNA U3 Small nucleolar RNA U3